AGGGCACCACCAGGAGUGGAGCCUGCGGCUUAAUUUGACUCAACACGGGAAACCUCACCCGGCCCGGACACGGACAGGAUCGACAGAUCGAUAGCUCUUUCUCGAUUCCGUGGGUGGUGGUGCAUGGCCGUUCUUAGUUGGUGGAGCGAUUUGUCUGGUUAAUUCCGAUAACGAACGAGACUCUGGCAUGCUAACUAGUUACGCGACCCCCCGAGCGGUCGGCGUCCCCCAACUUCUUAGAGGGACAAGUGGCGUUCAGCCACCCGAGAUUGAGCAAUAACAGGUUUGUGAUGCCCUUAGAUGUCCGGGGCUGCACGCGCGCUACACUGACUGGCUCAGCGUGUGCCUACCCUACGCCGGCAGGCGCAGGUAACCCGUUGAACCCCAUUCGUGAUGGGGAUCGGGGAUUGCAAUUAUUCCCCAUGAACGAGGAAUUCCCAGUAAGUGCGGGUCAUAAGCUUGCGUUUAUUAAGUCUCUGCCCUUUGUACACACCGCCCGUCGCUACUACCGAUUGUAAG
rnacentral:rRNA from 1 species